UAGUCAUAUGCUUGUCUCAAAGAUUAAUCCAUGCAUGUCUCAGUGUAAACUUUUAAACAGUGAAACUGCGAAUGGCUCAUUAAAACAGUUAUCGUUUAUUUGAUACUCAACUUUACAUGGAUAACCGUGGGAAUUCUAGGGCUAAUACAUGCGUAACCCCGCAAGGGAUGUGUUUAUUAGAUUAAAACCAUCACAGUAGCAAUACUGUACACUUGGAAUAAUAAUAACCGAUCGAAUCGCACGCUUUAUGUGGCGAUAAAUCAUUCAAGUUUCUGAC
rnacentral:rRNA from 1 species